AUGCCGAGACGGAACCACGCGACCCCAUGCUUGCUUCAGGUGGCGACUAUGUGCCCGUGGGGGCCGCGUCUACGCGGGCCGGAAGGCGUCGUGCCUGCCACUCACCAGGGAGGUCGCCGUAGAGGCGGCCGGCAGGGGAACCAACUUCAUCGUCUCGCGGCUGUCCAUCCACGCGGCGCUCGCGCUGGUGGCCGCCGGCACGCGGGGCGAGACGUGUGGCGAGCUCCUGGCGUUCCUCGGGUCGGCGUCGCUCGACGAGUUGCACGGCGCGCCGGCCACAGAGCUGGCGCGCAAGCUCAGCGGCCUGGCGCAGACGUCCUUCGCCUGCGGCGUGUGGGUCGACCGGAGGCAGGCGCAGGAGCCGGAGUUCGUGGCCACUGCCGCGUCAAGCUACGGCGGCACGGCGCCACCGCGGAACCCGUGGAUUUCGUCCAGGGCGCCGAGCAGGCGAGGCGGCGAGUGAACGCCUUCGUGGAGGGCGCGACCAGCAUGCGCAUCCGCGACAUCCUCCCUCCAGGAUCGGUCGGCUCGUCCACGGUCGUCGUCCUCGCCAACGCGCUCUACUUCAAGGGGGCGUGGUUCCAGCCAUUCGACCAGUCGGUGACCACCGUGCGCGUGCCGUUCAUGACGACGGGCCGGUUCGAGUUCAAGCAGCACAUCGCCGUCUACCCGGGCUUCAGGGCCCUCAAGCUGCCCUACCACAACGACGGCGACCACGCCGCCGCCGCAUUCUACAUGCUUCUCCUUCUCCCAGACGACGGCAGCGACCUCAGCCUCGCCGGUCUCUACGACAAGGCGGCCGCAGCGCCGGAGUUCAUCAGGAGCCACGCGCCGGCGGAGCAGGUCCCGGUGGGGCGGUUCAUGGUCCCCAAGUUCAAGUUCACGUUCGAGUUCGAGGCGUCGGCGGACAUGCGGAAGCUGGGAGUCACCAGGGCUUUCCAGGGCGGCGACUUCUCCGGCAUGGUGAGCGGCGGGAACGGGCUCUCCAUCUCGGGGGUGUACCACAAGGCCACCAUCGAGGUGGACGAGCUGGGCACCGUGGCCGCCGCAGCGACGGCCGUGUCCAUCCCGCUGAGCUUGAGCGCACCACGGCCUCCGGUGGACUUCGUGGCGGAUCGGCCGUUCCUAUUCGCCAUUGCCGAGGAGAAAACCGGCGGGGUGCUGUUCCUUGGCCAUGUGGUCAAUCCUCUCGCUGGCUAG
rnacentral:rRNA from 1 species